rnacentral:sRNA from 1 species
AAGUCUUUUUUUCCUAAUAAUCCAUUUUCCACAUUGCCAUGAGGGCAAAGGGUUCCAAUCAAAACCACCCUUAAACUGCAUAGUUUCUAGUCCUCCCUCAGCCUUGAUGCUAAUUAUGAUAGUUUGCAUAGACAUAACUUAAACUUGUGAUUCUCCCUCCUUCCAGAGCUUUUUUUAGCCCUUUCCCCCCAAAAAUUAGUUUUGUUCAAAAUCAAGUAUUGGGCCCAGCCAUUAAGAUAAGACCUAAUAAGUGAGAGAUACAGUUCCCAAAAGUUUAUAGAUCCAGGUGUUCACAUGGUGGUGGCCAGUCUACUGUUUAUCCUGUCAAGGUUGUUACUGCUAAUUUGGUGUCACUUUGGUCCUGGGCAGCAGUGGUGGGCGACGUAUCUAAUGAGCGUGCCAUUGACUUCUCCGUGUUUGUCUGUGUACGAGGGGUGCAGGUUGUCUGUAAUCCACUAAAGUGUCAGCCACACCCAGCUUUAGUAACUCGCUAAUCGCACACCCUGGGUGUAUCAGCCAGGGGCUGCUACAGUUAAUGGUACACAGUUGAUGGUACACAGGCUGAAAAUGAUAAUGAAUCAAGACCCUACUACAUUUCCAAAGCCGAAAAGCCAUGAGGGUUACAAUUUAAAUGAGCUUGGGAAGGAACGCUCCCGAAGACGUCUCCAGCCUGAAGGGUCAGAGCCGCUGGAAGCCUGGCUGUCUCUGGGCUUUCUCGUCUCAGUGCAGCAAGGCACCGUGAUCAACCAACCCGUGAUGGGGAAGGCCCUGGUUCUGUCUUUGUUUGGGGGUAAAUAGCUGUGUGGUGUUGAGUGACUGUGAUUGGCUUUUCCAGCUCCUUUAACACAAACUACAACCCACUCACGAUACAACUUCGGCAGAUGUGGUCAAAUUGAUGUUUGUUGACUUGCCUCAUUUCCUUCCAGCUCUUAAGUUCCAAAGUCUAACUGGGAUGGUAGAUGUGAAAUGCAUGAUUGUCGUCCUAAUUUCUGCAUGUGUUUAUGACAAUGUGUUGAGGGGAGGGGGAGGAGAGCCAGAGAGCAUUUUUAGGAACCAAAGGUCUUUCCUUGUCUUACUCUGGGGGAAUGCCAUGUAGCUCUGAUAGAGUUGUCUAUCGGUCUGUUUGUGAAUGCCCUUUCGCUUAAACUUCCAGCCCUUCUGGUGGCAUCCUUGGUUGUAAGGUGGCUGCUGUAUAACGUCCACUCUUUUUCAUAUUUAAUAUGUGUGAUUGUUACUGUUGUCUUUUUGUUUUAAAGUAACCAUAAGAGCAGAUGAUCUGAGUUAUAUUUAUUGAUCAGAGGAAUAGAGUGCAGUAAAACUCAUACUGGCAUUUUGCUUUUCUCAUUUCCCUGUAAACGGGCGGGUAUUAAUCCAUUCCCACCUUCUAAUGUCCUUGGUGUCCAGCUGGCUUUGUGGGUGUGCAAUGGUUUUACUGUACUGCCUCGAUCUGUGCCAGGCAUUUAUACACAGCCACAUGUGCGAGUCAGGUAGAGCGUAUGUGGUCACCCCCAUGGUUCACGGAGUUAGCUGAAUGGCCUCUCCGCUGUCCCUAGAUGGCAGAAACGGUGGACACAAGCGAAAUGGUCAACGGCGCUACAGAACAAAGGACGAGCUCUAAAGAGUCCAGCCCCAUCCCCUCUCCGACCUCUGAUCGCAAAGCCAAGACUGCCCUCCCAGCCCAGAGUGCCGCCACCUUACCAGCCAGAACCCAGGAGACACCUUCGGCCCAGAUGGAAGGCUUCCUCAAUCGGAAACACGAGUGGGAGGCCCACAAUAAGAAAGCCUCAAGCAGGUCCUGGCACAAUGUUUAUUGUGUCAUAAAUAACCAAGAAAUGGGUUUCUACAAAGAUGCAAAGACUGCUGCUUCUGGAAUUCCCUACCACAGCGAGGUCCCUGUGAGUUUGAAAGAAGCUGUCUGCGAAGUGGCCCUUGAUUACAAAAAGAAGAAACACGUAUUCAAGCUAAGACUAAAUGAUGGCAAUGAGUACCUCUUCCAAGCCAAAGACGAUGAGGAAAUGAACACAUGGAUCCAGGCUAUCUCUUCUGCCAUCUCCUCUGAUAAACACGAGGUGUCUGCCAGCACCCAGAGCACGCCAGCAUCCAGCCGAGCGCAGACCCUCCCCACCAGCGUCGUCACCAUCACCAGCGAGUCCAGUCCCGGCAAGCGGGAAAAGGACAAAGAGAAAGACAAAGAGAAGCGGUUCAGCCUUUUUGGCAAAAAGAAAUGAACUCCUUUCCUUCACCUCCUGCCCUUCUCUUACCUUUUCAGUGAAAUUCCAGCAUGCAAGCUCAGAACCAACACAUUACUCUCUGUGCCUAAUGUUCCUCAAUGUGGUUGAUUUUUUUUUUUUUUUUAAUUUAUAGAGCAUUUCUGGGGGGUGGGGGAAUCACACCUAAACACUUUAUCUCCAAGUUACAAAAGUUUGAGGUGCAGAGGGAAGGCCAGAUUUUUUUUUUAAUGAAAUUAUAUAGAUUAGAUCUCAGUAUUUAAACUGUUCCUCAAUUUUGUGAGGCUGUGUUGGAAAUAACCCGCCUCUAGUGCUGUUGGUAUGCAAGGCAGCGGUGCUUAAUCAAUAUUUCCUGUGCUCACCAGAGACAAAACGUACCAAUAUCCUGACACCAUUCUCUUUCCAUUUACUUCCGGUGGUUACCCUGAGUCUUGACUCUUAGAAGUGCCCGAGAUGGGGCUAACCUUUAUUAAACAGAUCGCAUAUUAUGAUCUUGCUGCAGCCACAGUGCAGCUCCACAUUAACUCUACAGACCAAACCAUUUGUAUCUGGCAUCACUUACUAACACACGACAUGCGGCUUUUCUGCAUCAACUGCUAUGACGGUUAAGAAUGUCAGUAUACAAGAAGGAAUAGAAAACUGAUACUGUUUUAAAUAAUCUGUAAUUUCAAUUUUUUUUUUUUUUUUUGCUGAAAUACAUUAUAUUGUAUGUUUGAGAUAAUUCUAGUACAAAGUAUAAUAAAACUAGAUGUAUAAUAAACCCUUUAAAUCAUUGGUAAGUGUACAAGUGGUGGAACUGAAGCAUUUACUGGACAAAGUAAUGUUACUCUAAUGGUUACUUGCUCGUGCGUUGCCACACUGUGUUAUAAUUUGCUUCAUUUCCUUGCUAUUUGAUACAUAGUGUGCAUUUCUCUGUCACUGUAACUAUUGUAAUGACAAAUUUUCAUCUUACUGCACAAUCAAAAUGACAUUGAUAGGAAUGAACUCCAGAGGCUGGGCCUGAACAGGGAGGUGGUCGCUCAGGCCUGGUGCUCAGUCGUACGACCUGUACCUCUCAACUUUUGCCCUAUCUGUUAAAUAUAUGCUAUGUCAUUAAAUGCUUUUAAAUCU